CAGUGUCUCAUAGAAUCCUUCAGUGGCUUCCAAGUGAUGACCAAAAGCCCAACUCUUCCCCACCUAUCAGCAAAAGAUGUGAAAUGUGGUCACUGAGAGUAUAUGCACCUGCUUGCAGGGGACAACCAGGGCACAAGCUUCUCACAUCUCCCCAGGGUCCAUGCAGGCUCUCAAGGUUUUCUAGCUGUGGCAACUGAGACAAAGAGAAGGUAAAUGAUCAGCUGGCAGACAAGCACAAAACUCCAGCUCCCCAGAUUACUUCGCUGCUCCCAUCUGCUGGCUGACAUUCUCUUCUUUACUGCAGGAAACAUGCUGCUCUGGUGGGAAGGGACCAAGGCAGUGUUCCUUAGGAGAAAAGGACAUGCCAGGCCUGUAUGGAAAUCAGUGAGACCUGAAACAUUGGUAUUUACCUAUGCAAGUUGAAAGGUUUCUGGGCAGCAGUGAGAAUUUGUGCAUGCACAUUUUCAAGUUUGUAUAUGACUGAUUCACUCCAAUACAAUUUCUGCUCUUACAUCAGAAAAGCAGCUUGAGUAUUCUUAAUGGCUUUUAAAAUUGAAUUGUGAUGAUGACUCAGAAGAGAGUAUAGCUGAAGAUGGA
rnacentral:lncRNA from 1 species